rnacentral:rRNA from 1 species
CCUACGGGUGGCAGCAGUAGGGAAUCUUCCACAAUGGACGAAAGUCUGAUGGAGCAACGCCGCGUGAGUGAAGAAGGGUUUCGGCUCGUAAAGCUCUGUUGGUAGUGAAGAAAGAUAGAGGUAGUAACUGGCCUUUAUUUGACGGUAAUUACUUAGACAGUCCCGGCUAACUACGUGCCAGCAGCCGCGGUAAUACGUAGGUGGCAAGCGUUGUCCGGAUUUAUUGGGCGUAAAGCGAGUGCAGGCGGUUCAAUAAGUCUGAUGUGAAAGCCUUCGGCUCAACCGGAGAAUUGCAUCAGAAACUGUUGAACUGGAGUGCAGAAGAGGAGAGUGGAACUCCAUGUGUAGCGGUGGAAUGCGUAGAUAUAUGGAAGAACACCAGUGGCGAAGGCGGUCUGCUGGACAGCAACUGACGCUGAGGCGCGAAAGCGUGGGGAGCAAACAGGAUUAGAUACCCUAGUAGUC